CUGCGAUGGUUGUCGUCAGCUCGUGCCGUGAGGUGUCGGGUUAAGUCCCAUAACGAGCGCAACCCUUAUCGUUAGUUGCCAUCUGGUAAUGCAGGGGACUCUAGCGAAACUGCCACCGUAAGGUGAGAGGAAGGUGGGGAUGACGUCAAAUCAGCACGGCCCUUAUGUCCAGGGCUACACACGUGUUACAAUGGUCGGUACAGAGGGCAGCUACCUGGUGACAGGAUGCUAAUCUCGAAAACCGGUCUCAGUUCGGAUCGAAGUCUGCAACUCGACUUCGUGAAGCUGGAUUCGCUAGUAAUCGCGCAUCAGCUAUGGCGCGGUGAAUACGUUCCCGGGCCUU
rnacentral:rRNA from 1 species